UAACUUACGUUGUUCGGGAGUCGACUUCAUUUGACGAAAUUUAUGGAUUCGAAAUGAAGAUUCUGAUUCAACACGUUCUUAUUAUGUUUAUCGGGGCAUUUCAAAUGAUAGGAGGUGAGAAAUGCUGGACGCCUUAUGUUUGCGACGGGAAGCCUACUUGGAAAGAUAUUAAUACGGAAAGACAGUGCACAAAAGAAGAAGAGAAGGCUUUGGAAGGUU